rnacentral:rRNA from 1 species
AUUGAACGCUGGCGGCAGGCUUAACACAUGCAAGUCGAGCGGGGUGAUGGUGCUUGCACUAUCACUUAGCGGCGGACGGGUGAGUAAUGCUUAGGAAUCUGCCUAUUAGUGGGGGACAACAUCUCGAAAGGGAUGCUAGUACCGCAUACGUCCUACGGGAGAAAGCAGGGGAUCACUUGUGACCUUGCGCUAAUAGAUGAGCCUAAGUCGGAUUAGCUAGUUGGUGGGGUAAAGGCCUACCAAGGCGACGAUCUGUAGCGGGUCUGAGAGGAUGAUCCGCCACACUGGGACUGAGACACGGCCCAGACUCCUACGGGAGGCAGCAGUGGGGAAUAUUGGACAAUGGGGGGAACCCUGAUCCAGCCAUGCCGCGUGUGUGAAGAAGGCCUUAUGGUUGUAAAGCACUUUAAGCGAGGAGGAGGCUACUUUAGUUAAUACCCAGAGAUAGUGGACGUUACUCGCAGAAUAAGCACCGGCUAACUCUGUGCCAGCAGCCGCAGUAA